GGGUGGGGGUGCUAAUACAUGCAAGUCGAGCGGACAGAUGGGAGCUUGCUCCCUGAUGUUAGCGGCGGACGGGUGAGUAACACGUGGGUAACCUGCCUGUAAGACUGGGAUAACUCCGGGAAACCGGGGCUAAUACCGGAUGCUUGUUUGAACCGCAUGGUUCAAACAUAAAAGGUGGCUUCGGCUACCACUUACAGAUGGACCCGCGGCGCAUUAGCUAGUUGGUGAGGUAAUGGCUCACCAAGGCGACGAUGCGUAGCCGACCUGAGAGGGUGAUCGGCCACACUGGGACUGAGACACGGCCCAGACUCCUACGGGAGGCAGCAGUAGGGAAUCUUCCGCAAUGGACGAAAGUCUGACGGAGCAACGCCGCGUGAGUGAUGAAGGUUUUCGGAUCGUAAAGCUCUGUUGUUAGGGAAGAACAAGUACCGUUCGAAUAGGGCGGUACCUUGACGGUACCUAACCAGAAAGCCACGGCUAACUACGUGCCAGCAGCCGCGGUAAUACGUAGGUGGCAAGCGUUGUCCGGAAUUAUUGGGCGUAAAGGGCUCGCAGGCGGUUCCUUAAGUCUGAUGUGAAAGCCCCCGGCUCAACCGGGGAGGGUCAUUGGAAACUGGGGAACUUGAGUGCAGAAGAGGAGAGUGGAAUUCCACGUGUAGCGGUGAAAUGCGUAGAGAUGUGGAGGAACACCAGUGGCGAAGGCGACUCUCUGGUCUGUAACUGACGCUGAGGAGCGAAAGCGUGGGGAGCGAACAGGAUUAGAUACCCUGGUAGUCCACGCCGUAAACGAUGAGUGCUAAGUGUUAGGGGGUUUCCGCCCCUUAGUGCUGCAGCUAACGCAUUAAGCACUCCGCCUGGGGAGUACGGUCGCAAGACUGAAACUCAAAGGAAUUGACGGGGGCCCGCACAA
rnacentral:rRNA from 1 species